rnacentral:rRNA from 1 species
UGGGGAAUAUUGCACAAUGGGCGCAAGCCUGAUGCAGCCAUGCCGCGUGUGUGAAGAAGGCCUUCGGGUUGUAAAGCACUUUCAGCGGGGAGGAAGGCGAUAAGGUUAAUAACCUUGUCGAUUGACGUUACCCGCAGAAGAAGCACCGGCUAACUCCGUGCCAGCAGCCGCGGUAAUACGGAGGGUGCAAGCGUUAAUCGGAAUUACUGGGCGUAAAGCGCACGCAGGCGGUCUGUCAAGUCGGAUGUGAAAUCCCCGGGCUCAACCUGGGAACUGCAUUCGAAACUGGCAGGCUAGAGUCUUGUAGAGGGGGGUAGAAUUCCAGGUGUAGCGGUGAAAUGCGUAGAGAUCUGGAGGAAUACCGGUGGAGAAGGCGGCCCCAUGGACAAAGACUGACGCUCAGGUGCGAAAGCGUGGGGAGCAAACAGG